AUUGAACGCUGGCGGCAUGCCUUACACAUGCAAGUCGAAUGGCAGCACGGGGCAACCUGGUGGCGAGUGGCGAACGGGUGAGUAAUGCAUCGGAACGUACCUUUCAGUGGGGGAUAACGUAGCGAAAGUUACGCUAAUACCGCAUAUUCUGUGAGCAGGAAAGCAGGGGAUCGCAAGACCUUGCGCUGAUUGAGCGGCCGAUGUCAGAUUAGCUAGUUGGUGAGGUAAAGGCUCACCAAGGCGACGAUCUGUAGCGGGUCUGAGAGGAUGAUCCGCCACACUGGAACUGAGACACGGCCCAGACUCCUACGGGAGGCAGCAGUGGGGAAUUUUGGACAAUGGGGGCAACCCUGAUCCAGCCAUGCCGCGUGAGUGAAGAAGGCCUUCGGGUUGUAAAGCUCUUUCGGCCGGGAAGAAAUCGCACGGGCUAAUACCCUGUGUGGAUGACGGUACCGGAAUAAGAAGCACCGGCUAACUACGUGCCAGCCGCCGCAGUAAGAC
rnacentral:rRNA from 1 species